AGGGAAUCUUCCGCAAUGGACGAAAGUCUGACGGAGCAACGCCUCGCUCAGGAUGAACGCUUUCGGCGUGUAAAAUACAUGCGUUAGGAACGAACAAAUUAGAAGCUAACUGCUCGUACCUUGACCGGCGGUAGGGUGAAAGCCACGGCUAACUACGUGC
rnacentral:rRNA from 1 species